UACGGAGGGGGUUAGCGUUGUUCGGAAUGACUGGGCGUAAAGCGCGCGUAGGCGGACCAUCAAGUCGGGGGUGAAAUCCCGGGGCUCAACCCCGGAAUGGCCUUCGAGACUGGUGGUCUUGAGUUCGAGAGAGGUGAGUGGAAUUCCGAGUGUAGAGGUGAAAUUCGUAGAUAUUCGGAGGAACACCAGUGGCGAAGGCGGCUCACUGGCUCGACACUGACGCUGAGGUGCGAAAGCGUGGGGAGCAAACACGG
rnacentral:rRNA from 1 species